rnacentral:rRNA from 1 species
CACGUGGGGUGCGAGCGUUGUCCGGAAUUAUUGGGCGUAAAGAGCUCGUAGGCGGUGUGUCACGUCGGCCGUGAAAACCUGCAGCUUAACUGUGGGCGUGCGGUCGAUACGGGCAUCACUGGAGUUCGGCAGGGGAGACUGGAAUUCCUGGUGUAGCGGUGAAAUGCGCAGAUAUCAGGAGGAACACCGGUGGCGAAGGCGGGUCUCUGGGCCGAUACUGACGCUGAGGAGCGAAAGCGUGGGGAGCAAACAGG